CUUACCCUCUCCUAUUCUCUGUCUCUCUCUUUCUUUCUCUUCAUUAGGGUUCUGAUUAUGUUAUGAACCUACCUUCCAUGCUUGUUCAAUUUUUUUCUCUUUCUUUUUGUUUUUGAAAAACCCUUUAUACACUGUCUUGUGGGGCAUCUUCACUCUUCAAUAUCAUGGUCCUCUUUGUAUUCUUCCACAGCUUUCUUGAACUGCAUCCAUAGAGUUCCUUUGCAUGCAUGCCAUGGCACUCUUGCUCCCACACCUUGUUUUGCGGUUCAAUAAAGCUGUGGGAAGAUACAGAUCGGUCCAACAACGAACUAGCUUAUCUCAAACUCCAGAUUCUUCCUCUAAACCUUUCUGUCAAAUUAUAUUAUUAUAUACAUAGGGAUAAGAUUAUAAUGGUGUAUUUGUUUUUUCCUUUUUCUUCUGAUUUGACCUAUUUAAAUCUUUUUCAGAUUUAAAGCAUUGACUUUUCAGAUGCAUAACUCUGUUAUGUGAUCAGAAUUCUGAUAUGCAGUCGUAUGAGAGAAUAAACUUGUACCAAUCGUGUUGAUUUGUGACGAUGAUUCUUCAACAAUUCGGCUUCUUCUUCCGGAAUUAAACCGAUCAGUUACAGAUUGUUAGACAAUGGACCACAGAGAGGUGACCAUACUGCCUUUAUCUCUCGUAUGGAACUUCCAACAACUUAUGAAUGCUUUAAAGCCAUUGGUUGGUGACCCUAGCAAGAGGUUAGAUGAAGCUUUUAUGGAAAAUAUUAACUAUAGAAUUCUAAAAAAUUAACCUCCACGACUGUAUUAUGGUGAUUCUUGCUAUAGAACGAACAAGGCUACCUAAAACCAGUGCAGGAGCUGCUUGUGAAGGAAACUAGGGUUUUCCUUUUCCCAAUUAAGUCAGGGACAGCCAUGCUGCGGGAAAUGGGAAUUUUAGACCACCUGCGAGUACUGUUUCUUUCUUUAUCUUGCUUCCCUGUGCCGAGAAUCAGUUCGAAUGAGACCCCUUUUGUUUCUCCCGAAAGAUUUUGAAAUUAGAAACGGUAAAAGCAAUUUCAAGUUAUACAUAAAGCAAUCGAUCUUGCAUGGCCUAGAAAAAGAAGUGGCCGAUCCCGAUAUUAAUAUCAAUUUUUCACAACGGGUUAUUCUUUUUUCUUCAUUUUGUGUCUCUCACUGUUAAAUCCGACAAAAUGGUGAGCUUCAGCGCCAUCAACUUUACUAGGACUUUUAGUUGGUGCAUUCACGAGCACUAUGACUCCCUCCAAUAAACAACUCCAUUUUUUUUCUCCUUUUCCAAAAGACAUUGUAAAAGUCGUAUGAGCAUGCCACUUUAUUUGCAAAAUCUAUAUCCUAAUCCUACUGUAACCCACUAAUCUAACAUACAUAUUCUAACUUGUUCCUCA